rnacentral:lncRNA from 1 species
GAACAUAUAAAAUGAUGAAGCACAUUGCCCUUUCUCCCCAAGGAUAAAUAGAGGACGUCUAACUGUUUCGCUCUCAGUUACGGGAGAACCACGAACAACCAUGGAGCUCAGUCCGUUGGGAUAUGCUGGCGGGGUUUUACUCCAAAUAAUAUUCGGCAUUCCGUUAACUAUUCUGCAACUCAUAAUCGGACCUUUAAACAGCGUUACCACAUGCAAAGGAUUCACAGCUGGACUCAUACCAUUUACGUUACGACUGAUGAGAGGUGAUGAAGUCAAAUGGUAUUUUGACUCAUGUUGACGGAUGGAGAAACCGAUGUCCUCCACAGAUAAAAAAAAGUGCUUCUUCCACUUCAAUUUUUGUUUCCUUUUUCUCAAUAAGAAUGGCUUACACUGCCCAGUCCCGAGUAUGAGAACGAGUCUACAUCUAUUGAGAUGUGAAUCAAUAAAUAUAACGGAAAAAAAAUUGUAGGUCCAUGCAUCACAAACUACAAGCAACGGAGUCAGCAUAUUGAGGGUUGAUGAUAUAUAAAAAUGUAUCAACAUUAAUUGAUUAAUUACAAUUCGUGAUUAUGAAAACCUAUAAAAGAUGCAUUCUGAAUAAUUUAACCAAAAUGUCUAUAGGCGUGUUCAUGAGUGUCAUGUUUCCAAAAUUAUAUAAAUGCUUUGUAUAUUAGUGUGCGUUUAUUUUUCCUUUGUAGCCAAUUAUGCAUUGUAGUCAAUUAAAUUAAGCUAUUGCUA